rnacentral:rRNA from 1 species
AUGAACGCUGACAGAAUGCUUAACAAAUGCAAGUCAACUUGAACUUCGGCUUGGGUGGCGGACGGGUGAGUAACGCGUAAAGAACUUGCCUCACAGAUAGGGACAACAUUUGGAAACGAAUGCUAAUACCUGAUAUUAUGAUUAUAUGGCAUCGUAUAAUUAUGAAAGCUAUAUGCGCUGUGAGAGAGCUUUGCGUCCCAUUAGCUAGUUGGAGAGGUAACGGCUCACCAAGGCGAUGAUGGGUAGCCGGCCUGAGAGGGUGAUCGGCCACAAGGGGACUGAGACACGGCCCUUACUCCUACGGGAGGCAGCAGUGGGGAAUAUUGGACAAUGGACCAAGAGUCUGAUCCAGCAAUUCUGUGUGCACGAUGAAGUUUUUCGGAAUGUAAAGUGCUUUCAGUUGGGAAGAAAAAAAUGACGGUACCAACAGAAGAAGUGACGGCUAAAUACGUG